rnacentral:rRNA from 1 species
UUGCACGCUGGCGGCAGGCUUCACCCAUGCAAGUCGAGCGGGGGAAGGUAGCUUGCUACCGGACCUAGCGGCGGACGGGUGAGUAAUGCUUAGGAAUCUGCCUAUUAGUGGGGGACAACAUCUCGAAAGGGAUGCUAAUACCGCAUACGUCCUACGGGAGAAAGCAGGGGAUCUUCGGACCUUGCGCUAAUAGAUGAGCCUAAGUCGGAUUAGCUAGUUGGUGGGGUAAAGGCCUACCAAGGCGACGAUCUGUAGCGGGUCUGAGAGGAUGAUCCGCCACACUGGGACUGAGACACGGCCCAGACUCCUACGGGAGGCAGCAGUGGGGAAUAUUGGACAAUGGGGGGAACCCUGAUCCAGCCAUGCCGCGUGUGUGAAGAAGGCCUUAUGGUUGUAAAGCACUUUAAGCGAGGAGGAGGCUACUUUAGUUAAUACCUAGAGAUAGUGGACGUUACUCGCAGAAUAAGCACCGGCUAACUCUGUG